UUCAAGAAUGCUGUUUGUAUUUGCAACAUCAACUACAACUACAUUAGGUAUGCAUCAGUUAACUUUUGCCCAUAGAACUCGAGCUCUUCAGUGUCUCUUCUAUUUGGCUGACAAGGAAACUAUAGAAUCUCUCUUUAAAAAACCCAUCGAAGAAGUGAAAUCUUAUUUGAGAUGUAUAACUUUUCUGGCAUCAUUUGAGACUU
rnacentral:sRNA from 1 species